CGCGUAGGCGGCUUGCCAAGUCAGUGGUGAAAUCCCGCAGCUUAACUGCGGAAGCGCCUUUGAUACUGGCGAGCUCGAGGGAGGUAGGGGUAUGUGGAACUUCUGGUGGAGCGGUGAAAUGCGUUGAUAUCAGAAGGAACGCCGGUGGCGAAAGCGACGUACUGGACCUCUUCUGACGCUGAGGCGCGAAAGCUAGGGGAGCAAACGGGAUUAGAUACCCCGGUAGUCCUAGCCCUAAACGUUGGGCACUAGGUUGUGGACUAACAUGGGUUCACAGCCGAAGCAAAAGUGUUAAGUACCCCGCCUGGGGAGUAUGGUCGCAAGGCUGAA
rnacentral:rRNA from 1 species